CACAUGUGAUGAUGUACAGAUGAAAGAAAGAUCUUAGAAGCUGAGAAGCCGAGAGCUGGAGGAACAAGGAGAAGCUAAAAAGACAGAAGAAGUCAGAGCAUGUGGAGCUGUUGGGCAAGCAGAGUUCUAUCUGGGUAUUUAGGCAAGAACAAAUCAGACGGAACAAGUUUGCUACGGGUGGGUGUGCAUCAAGCUGCUUCGUUGCCGGCGGCGAGUAAUCUCACACAUGUUUAUGGCGCAUAUGUACCAGGAAAUUCAAAUGGUUCUGAUCAUACGUGCGAGGGGAAUCAGGUAGGGCUUGAUGCGCCUUUCAUACGAAAUGUUGAUGAGAAUUACCCAAGUAGUCCAGGACGCAGUGACAUGCAAGGCGAGGGAAAUUGAAGCCAAAACAUGCAGGACGGCCAGGAAUGUGCCAUUUUUUCUAUGACAGCUUAGUGAUUUUACCCUUUUUGUAUUUUUUACAUUGCUAGGUACAGUAGUUUAUAUGAAAUGAUUUGUUAAUGGCAGGGGGUGGUUCUUCAAUCUUCAGGGAAUCAAGUGGUAGCAUCAGAUGCUGACAUGCAUGGAAGCAGUAAACAUUGAUAAGAGUACAAGCAUUGGAGGAGUACUCACCACGUUCGAGGAAGUCGUCAUCAUGGUGGUGGUGGUCGAGGAAGUCGUAGGUGCUGGUGGCAUCAUCACGGAGCAGGCACCAUCUUCUCCUCGACUUAAAAUGUAGUCAAGCAUGGGGAGCUCGACUUCGCGGCUGACCUGGGUGCAGGUGACGGGGCACUCGUAGCGGCGGAGGAGUACCAGCAGCGUCGGAGAUGGCAGCGUCCAACACGGCGCUCCUCCUUGCAGGUCGAUGGCGGCGAG